UACAGAGGUCUCAAGCGUUGUUCGGAUUCAUUGGGCGUAAAGGGUGCGUAGGCGGCGCGGUAAGUCGGGUGUGAAAUCUUGGAGCUUAACUCCGAAACUGCAUUCGAUACUGCCGUGCUUGAGGACUGGAGAGGAGACUGGAAUUUACGGUGUAGCGGUGAAAUGCGUAGAUAUCGUAAGGAAGACCGGUGGCGAAGGCGGGUCUCUGGGCAGUAACUGACGCUGAGGAGCGAAAGCGUGGGGAGCGAACAGG
rnacentral:rRNA from 1 species